rnacentral:tRNA from 1 species
GGAGGGUUGGCCGAGUGGUUUAAGGCGGCGGUCUUGAAAACCGCUAAACGGGCAACCGUUUCGGGGGUUCGAAUCCCUCACCCUCCG